UACAGAGGUCUCAAGCGUUGUUCGGAUUCAUUGGGCGUAAAGGGUGCGUAGCGGCGCCGUAAGUCUGGUGUGAAAUCCCGGGGCUUAACCCCGGAACUGCACUGGAUACUGCGGUGCUCGAGGACUGGAGAGGAGAUUGGAAUUCACGGUGUAGCAGUGAAAUGCGUAGAUAUCGUGAGGAAGACCAGUGGCGAAGGCGGAUCUCUGGACAGUUCCUGACGCUGAGGCACGAAGGCCAGGGGAGCAAACGGG
rnacentral:rRNA from 1 species